CCUACGGGCGGCUGCAGUGGGGAAUAUUGCACAAUGGGCGCAAGCCUGAUGCAGCCAUGCCGCGUGUGUGAAGAAGGCCUUCGGGUUGUAAAGCACUUUCAGCGGGGAGGAAGGCGUUAAGGUUAAUAACCUUGGCGAUUGACGUUACCCGCAGAAGAAGCACCGGCUAACUCCGUGCCGGCAGCCGCGGUAAUACGGAGGGUGCAAGCGUUAAUCGGAAUUACUGGGCGUAAAGCGCACGCAGGCGGUCUGUCAAGUCGGAUGUGAAAUCCCCGGGCUCAACCUGGGAACUGCAUUCGAAACUGGCAGGCUAGAGUCUUGUAGAGGGGGGUAGAAUUCCAGGUGUAGCGGUGAAAUGCGUAGAGAUCUGGAGGAAUACCGGUGGCGAAGGCGGCCCCCUGGACAAAGACUGACGCUCAGGUGCGAAAGCGUGGGGAGCAAACAGGAUUAGAUACCCGAGUAGUC
rnacentral:rRNA from 1 species